rnacentral:misc_RNA from 1 species
UUCAACAAAUUGAAAAUUGAAAAGGUAAUUUAUUUUCAAAUUUAAGUUUACUUUGUUGCACAUCAUUCAUGUAUGAACUUUUCACUUCUCAGUUUCUUUUCUUACGCAAAGCACUAGACUAAUAAGGGAAUGCACAUCAGGAAGUUUACAAUAUAUCAAAGUUGACAAUGUAUUUCUAUCUUAGAUGAUGUUUGGAUUUUUGUGAUGCAUAAUUCCAUGAUUUUCAUGGUGCUACACUUUUCAGCCCAGCAUUUCAUUUUGGUCAUUAUUAGUGAGCUGGCAUUAUCCUGCCCAGCCAGAUUAUUUGGGUCUAGAAGGAAGACAUAAAUAGGAGAUUUUUGUUGCUUCAGCAUGAUCAAAUUAAGCUUAGAAAUUGGAAGAUGACUUCUUGAUUAUGCUAGUUUGGUUUACACCAGUGAAGUCAAAACAUUGCUAAAUAUCUUUUCCUUGUUGAUACUUCACUUGCUGAUUUUAUUAUAUGGGCAGAAGCUUGCGUGGUAACACUUUGAUUGAGGAUAAGAUCAAGCUGAUGUUUUGUUAAUUAUAUUGUCAGCAUUUUAAUUGGGAAAUAGGGUUAGUGUGUUUUAUUUUUAAUAUUAGGGCUAACAACUAUUUUUUGUUUGACAUUCCUUUUCU